UACGGAGGAGGCAAGCGUUAUCCGGAAUUAUUGGGCGUAAAGCGUCCGCAGGUGGCUAUUGCUAGUCUGCCGUCAAAGACCGGGGCUUAACCCUGGAAAGGCGGUGGAAACUGCACAGCUAGAGAGAGGUAGGGGUAGAGGGAAUUCCCGGUGUAGCGGUGAAAUGCGUAGAGAUCGGGAAGAACAUCGGUGGCGAAAGCGCUCUACUGGACCUCAUCUGACACUCAGGGACGAAAGCUAGGGGA
rnacentral:rRNA from 1 species